GUUGAGCAGACUCGCUUCUACACGAACUCCUAUUGGCUGCUCAUGACGCCGAAGAGUUUCGGAUUGGAGUUCGCUACCUGCCGUCCUCAUUGGAUGUAGCUCUGAAACUUCACGGAUUGGUGCGAAAAACAGCAGGUAGGACAUCGUCCACUUGUGAUUGGCUGUCUCCGAAGACUAAUGUUACUGGAGAAUCAGGUAGUGAGUAAGCAAGUCCUGAAAAAUGAUUGGUAAAGACGACUACGGAUGUGCUCGACUGAGCACUGAUUGGUCAAUUGAGGGGUCAGGAAGAGCAGUGCGGCACGAGGAUUGGCGGUGGAGUGUCCCAUGGAAACCGAACCCGGAGCUGCGGCCAGGACUUGCAAGGGGGCGGGGCAGGGUCUUUCCAAGGCGCCUGCGCUGAACCAGCUUCUCGGCGCCAUUUUGUCUGGGCAGAGGUGGCCGCAGCUGUAUCGCAUUUUAUGUUUCUGGCGAGAGGAGAGCGGAAUCUUUAUCCCGUGAAUUCAUUUAACUGCGGCAGCCACCCGCCGAUUCCUCCAGGACAGCACCUAGUGAAGGUCGGAAGAGUCCCGAUCUCUCAGAAAGCAGUUGGUCUGAAGAAAACAGAACAGCUCAGUGACAGACAUCUGCAAGUAUUCCUGAGAGGGAGCCUCACUCUGGAAAAAUGAAGAAAGGUGUUCCAGUUUUUAAAAGACCUGGAUCUGCUAUCUGUUGAAAUUAUAUUUCUGAUUCCCUUGUGAAUGAUAGAAAUGAAAGUGAAUGGAUAGUCUUAUCAGAUAAGUAUGUUUUGAGUCUAAAUAUAUUUGAUUUUUUUCCAUAAGAUGGCUCUACUAGUACUUAUCUUUAUUUGAAACAAUUUUGUUACAUUGUAUCAUGACAGCUGGCAUAUCAGCAUGCACUUCAAAAAAUGUUAUAAAAAUGGGUGAAUUUUUGUGUAGCUAUAUUAAUACUGAAGAUGAAAGAAGAAAAACAACAUUUUCAGCAUAUUGUGCCUUUUUGUAUCAAGGAAGGUAAAAAUGCUACUGAAACACAAAGAUUUGUGCAGUGUAUGGAGAUAGUGCUGUGACUGAUCGAACAUCUUGCAAGUGGUUUGCAAAGUUUCAUACUGGAAAUUUCUCACUGCAUGAUGCUCCCACUUAAACCAGCAAAAACUUGAUGAAAAGUGUCUGUAAUUAAUCAAUAGAAAACGCAUAGUCUUCCAUCAGGAUAACACAAGACUGAAUGUUUGAUGACCAGGCAAAAACUGUCUCAGCUUGGCUGGUUAAGUUGAUUCAUCUUCUGUAUUCUCCAGACAGUAAGCCUUCAUAUUUACAUUUAGUUUGAUCUUUAAAAAAUUAUCUUAAUGGAAAAAAUUGAAAUUUCCUGGAAGACUGUAAAAGGCACCUGAACAGUUCUUUGCUCAAAAAGAUAAAAAGUUUUGGUAAGUUGGAAUUAAAAAGUUGCCUAAAAAAUGUCAGAAGGUAGUGGAAUAAAACAGUGACUACAUUCUUCAAUAAAGUUAUUGGUGAAAAUGAAAAA